rnacentral:tRNA from 1 species
GCCGGGAUGGCGGAACUGGCAGACGCAGGGGACUUAAAAUCCUCCGGGUUGACGCCCGUGCCGGUUCGAGUCCGGCUCCCGGCACCA